CUUCCUUACUUGUUUUUCUUUGUUUCAUUUAUUUUGUAGCUUGCGAAUUUUAAUUGUUUAUUGUUCUUUCUGCUUCAUUUCGUUUGAAUGCCACCAAUGGCGCAGCGAGUACCAACAAUCACAGCAAGUGAGAAGUGUAAAUAGGCGUGAGUGAAAACCUGAUGGCCUGGUGGAGAGGACCAAAAUCAGAAAUAAAAUCGCGUAUGCGGGAAAUGUUCUACGGAUCAUUCUAAAUAACUUUGCUCAAGAGACUACGGGUCUAAAACCGAUUUCAAGGAUAAGUUUAUCUUUAAUGGAUUAUAAACAUUUAUUCCUCAGUUUUUGAGAUAUCUGAAUGAAAAUCCAAAUGUAUGCUUAACUUAAGUAAAUGUUAUACAUUUCCAAAUAUUGUAUCAACAUAUUAAUAAUACAUUUUUAUACACUCAAAUAUGUGCAUACUAGAUGCUCCCAGCAUAAAUUGUCAGAGUAGGGCUUUUUUGAAGGCUCCAGAAUAACCUAACAUAUGUAUCUUCUUAAAUUAUCACUGCUUUUGUUUUUUCGAACAUUUCUCUUCUUAAUGGAAGCAACUUCUCUGCUAAAAUAUUCCAAAACGGUUCAAGAUUCCAUCAACUCGUUGGCAACUCUUUAUAAAUAUAAGCAAAGCGUUCAAGUGGCACAAAGCCUAAAAUAAAUGAAUAUGUAUGUAUGCCACAGACAGCAACAACAAUACUAGUAUAUACUAAAUUGAGACGAAAGUGUGGAGAAAGCUGAAGCCAAGGCGCCAACAAAAAUAAUUAUAAAAGAAAAACCUUUUCAAAAUAACGGAUGUAAUAUGAUACUUUUGAAUGCCUUUGUGCAUUUCUUUCGUUUUUUGUUUAUUUUUUUUUGCAUCCAUACAUUUUUACGGCACUCUCCCUCAAAAGCGCUCCGCUUAUUAAAUAGAAAUAACAGAAGUGAGAGAGCGAUCAAUGUUCCAUGCACCUCCCCGCAUUUAUUCAGCUCAUGCUUAUUUAUUUAGCAAACAGCAAUGGUGUUUAAUGCGAUUUGAAAUGCAUCGCAUAGAGGAGAAUGAUAAAACGUCAAAACGCAAGAGUUCAUAAGAAAAAAGCAAAAACAGUAACACGUGAGGCGUGUGGAUUGCAAUAAGGUGUUGAAAAGUGGGUGGAGUAGUGGAACGAAGCUAGAAAGAGUUUCAAUAGCGCCUGCAAUAAAUUAAAUAAAUCGAAAAAAAGUCGGCAAAUAGGAAGUUUAAGCUGAAAAAAGGGAGUAUAAUGUCAUUAGCAUAGCAAAGAAGGGAGCGGUUGUUCUGCUUCACAUAUCGGUACUUUGAACAUAUACAUACAUACAUACAACAUACAUAUGUAUGAUUAGUGACGAGUGCAAAAUUAGCCCACAAGAAAACAACAAUGGCGACUUACUUAUGUAGCAGUGACAAUGACAUUUCAAGAAAGAUAAAGUUUGUAUGGCAGUUAUAUAAUAUGGUGGACCGAUCCUGGAAAUUUUCUUCGGAGAUGCUUUCGACAGCAAUUCAAGCCAAAAGUCGUAAAGAUAUCUCGCAACAAAAAAAAUCAAUGCAGUAGUGGUCCGAUAUCAGCGGUUCCGAAAAAUGAGCAGCUUCUUUGGAGAAAAGGACUUGUGCAAAAUUUCAGAUCGAUAUAUCAAGUUUAUAGGGUUUCCAACGCUUUCUUCUGGGUGUUACCAACUUUGUGCAAACUUAAUAUUCCCUGUCUUCUAUUGGCUACAACAUUCGGGAGGAUUUGGCGACAAACAGUGCAGGGGGCGGUAGAAGAGACCAACAGAGGUGGGGUCAAGUAAAUGCAACUUGUUACCGAAUGUAUUCAGACCAACAAAAACGUAAGUAUGUAUGAUCACUGCUCAAACAUCGUUUCGAAGAAAUACUUGCGAGUGGUAUCGGCGGGGAUCGGUAGAAAUUUUAGUUCGGAUUAAAGUCAGUGUGAAACCACAUGGAGCUCAGGCUUACACACUUAUUUAUAAAUUUACAAUAAUAAUAUACAAUAAUAAAUUAUAUUUUCACCUCGCACCUGAAAUUUUUGUAUAGUUUUAUAAGACGUAAAAAUUCAAUAAACAUUAACGUGUUUUUCGUUGCUGCAUAUCUACUUUAAA